GCUUGCCCCUUCUGCUCUACGUGCAAAGGAAGCGGUAGCGACGCGGGCGUGCGGUUCAAGGAGCGCCGAGGUGGCCUCUGACCAGGAGCGUCCGGAAGGGACAAGCGGGCGGCGGCGUUCAGGACAGUGGCGAGGUGCGGUUCAGGGAGCGGAGCGGCGGUGAAACGGGAGAGCAGCCUCGAGACGAGAUCCGCGGCGGCGUCGAGCGAUGUGACUUUGCUCUGCUGCUCGCGGCGUGGUCCGACGCAACUGGAAAGUUAGCUCGGCUCGUCCGGCCGGGUCGCGCGGGGGACGGCCGGAGGAGGAGCGGUGUCAAAACCCGCCUCCGGGCACCACUCGUCGUGGGCUCGGGGGGGACGUGAUAACCCGACGGGUCAAAACCGGGUACGCACAAAAAAAAAGACAACACAAAAAAGGAAAAUAGGGUCUCAAACGUCAAAAUGUUUUUUCGGGGAUCUGUUGUACGUAUAUUAUUGAGUGUAUGCCACGUAGUAUAAUUUUGUUUGAAUUAUACUUUGAACGAAUCUUAAAGUAGAUCAAAUUAUUAUACGGUGAAAGUAGGUGCAAACUUUACAAAUUUUACAACAAAUAAAUUUAACGAAUUUAUUGAACAAUUUUACUAAAUAAAGUAUUGAAUUAUUGGCAUCGAGGUUUGGAUUGUUUGAAAUAUACAUUUACCCCAUCUUUUUACGGAUUAAAUUGCAUCACUGAAAUGAAACGUACAAUUUGUUGAGAUUUUAUACCAAAUCCCGUCUUGUCAUUGUUUGGAUGAUAUACGUAUACUCCUAACAGGCCUUAACAACAAACAACAAAGGCCGGAGUAAAUUUGAACUGAUCUAUCCAUCAAAAGAAACGAAGUGGGAGAACGGUACAAAUUGUUGUAAAUUAUAACAACCUAUGUAUUUGCUCUCUCUUGAUUUAUUCAGUACACCACAAAAGAAGUUAUACGUUGAGGCAACGUAUUACUCGAGGUGAAUUAAACAUCCUGACAAACACGUGAAACGGUACGGUACGAAGUAAGUUGGCCUGUACGUAGUAUGAACAACACGUAGUACGGUACAACAACAUCACCAACAAAUGAUACAACACACGAAGAAAGGCCACAACGAAGAAGCCCAACCAAGGCUAUUGCGGCGUAAACACUCCUAGGCGAGCUGAUACAAGCAAACAGAAGAAGUACCCGAGCAAGAAGAAGGAACGCCCUAGAGUCGAACGUCCACGGCUACUUUGGCACGUCCACUGAGUUGGCUCCAGUUCCUCCUCGAGCUACUUCUAGAGCAAGUAACACAACAAAGCAAAGUCAACUAGUCAUCACCUCGGGUCAACCCUGCUAGCCCCUAGAUAUCGUAAACCCCAUCAGAUGAUAAUAAAACCAAGGCAUCGGCCUGGAACUAACAUAGACCUACUACAUUACGAAAUAAGUACAUAACACACUUCACCGCUAACAUUCGGUUGAUACAUGGAGAAAAGAAUAAGUAAUGUACCCAACACACUUCUAAUGGAGUGAACGCUGUAACGAAUGUUACGCCAAUACGGAGAUUCAGCACGAGGCUGUACACCCUCUAUAUCGGCGUAGUACCCGCAAUGUGGUACCUGGUCUCCCAUUUGGGAAGAGGGUAGAUCCCCCUUCCAGUUCCUUCUUCUUCUUCCCCCCGAGAGGGGGAGAGAGAGCCACCGCGGCCUUGUGACGGUCCCGGUAGUAGCACUAUUGAUAGAUGUGGUUGUUUAAGUGGCGGCAGUAGUGGUUGAGAAGGGGGAGAUACGUCACCACAUUGGGGAGAAAAUGGGCG
rnacentral:rRNA from 1 species